GGGGGGGGGGUCCCAACCUGAAUACAAAAAUAAAAUAUGUUACAACCAGUAUUAUGUCAAUAAAUUAGUGAAAAAAAAUACUAUUUACUAUCUUUAUCAUGUUUAUGGUAGUACAGUAGACUCCGGACAAUCGGAUACCCAAAAUGUCAGCUAAAAAUAUCCGAUUACCCGAUAUAUUCAAUUAGACGAUGAAUGUAUAUUCAAUUAAUAUUCUACAAUAAUAAGUAGAUCUAUUGCUUAAUAUGUGAAAGGGCUGGAGGAUUGAUGGAGUGAUUUUUAUCAGUUACAUCACCACGAUGUUUGCGAGAAAAAUUAUCAGCUGAUUAUGUAGCUAAUGAUUAAAUUUGUUUCCACUUGCAGUUUUUAAAUCCUAUAUUUAUUAAAAUCAAUCAAAUGUCCUGAAAUAUUUAUGUAAAUUAUUAUCUUCCAUCCAUAGUUUGUCUUUACUUGUUUAGUAAACAAAUUAUUUACAUUUUCACACAGGUAAACUAAUUUGGCUAUAAAUAGAUCAAAGCAUGUCUGAGUAGAAUCUCUUAUCUAAAAUCGUAAUUGUUAUAAUUUUAUUUCUUUAAAUAAUCAAAUUUAAAUUUAUGAAAAUAAUCAUGAUUGAUAAAAUAGUAUUGCAUAAAGUUUACGCUUUCAGAGACUAUUUAUGUUUAGGUCAUGGUUCUACAGGCUUCUUCACAUAUUUGUAAACAAACCAAUAUGGCCGCC
rnacentral:lncRNA from 1 species